ensembl:lncRNA
AAACUAGCAACUAUGAUAUCAUAAAAGGAACGUUUCAACAUAGCAGAUGAGAAUACUGAGGGCUAACGGUGCUGCCAACAAUUUCAGACGAGCACUUGUGUCUUUUCUGAUAUGAGAGAGCAAAUGUUUUCACAAAUAUAUACUUUUCAAUGAAUUCCUACGACUGGUCCCAGCCUAAGCCAGGGAACGAGCAGCCUUCUAGCUCUCCACCACCUCAAAUAUGCCAGAAUAAUGGACCUGCCAUGACCGAAAAUGACUUCAUGGCACCUCCAUGCCCACUAUCUCCACCUCCUCCCUCACAGGAGUACAGAGCAGAGGUGCCAUCUAACAGCCACAGUUUGGCCCUUCCAAGAUCUGACUCAAUUGAGACCCCAUCUGGUGUUAUCACACCUGAAAAUUUGAUCUGGGAUCCCCCAAAUCUACAGGAGCUUGGUCCACUGAAAUUAUUAGGUGUUUACAACCUUCCACCACCCUUCUGGCCUGCCAGCUUAAAGGAUAAGGUGAAGAAUCUUGGCUUUAAUGAGGAUGAGACAAACAGAGCUGAUGACAGCAGCAACAUGAAGAAUCCAUCCGACUCUGCUCCUCACAAUACGUUUGAAGAGCUUCUUGAGAAUUUGAAUUUCUCAACACCUUCUCCUCAUGCAAAUGAGGAUAUCUUUGAAAUACUAGGCCUCUCUGUUGAUGCAUACAAUGAACAGACUGAGAUUGAUGCCGUCAUAGAGCAAGAAGAGGACAAGGACAAGCUCCCGCUCAGUCCUGUCAUCACUGGCCACAACAUGGAAGCUGCAGCCUUUGAUUCUGAGGAACUUCUGUCUUAUUUUACAUGCUCAAGAAAGAGAAAUAGUGCUAUUUUCUUUGACAAUGACUCCUCUUCUGCUGCUGACGAAAGUUCUGCCAUGUUUAAUGAUUUGGAGCUCUUUGAGCCUCCACAUGCAAAGCCUCAACUGGACUCUAAUGAAUAUGUUGAAGACUUUUUCACUACUUUUUAUAGUGCUAUCUUCUCAGACGAAAGCACUGUUUCUUAUGAUUAAAGCAAUGCUAUUUGCAAAUUAAAAG